UACGGGGGGGGCAAGCGUUGUUCGGAAUUACUGGGCGUAAAGGGCUCGUAGGCGGCCAACUAAGUCAUACGUGAAAUCCCUCGGCUUAACCGGGGAACUGCGUCUGAUACUGGAUGGCUUGAGGUUGGGAGAGGGAUGCGGAAUUCCAGGUGUAGCGGUGAAAUGCGUAGAUAUCAGGAGGAACACCGGUGGCGAAGGCGCUCAUCUGGCCCGAUACUGACGCUGAGGCGCGAAAGCUAGCGGAGCAAACGGG
rnacentral:rRNA from 1 species